rnacentral:rRNA from 1 species
AUUGAACGCUGGCGGCAGGCCUAACACAUGCAAGUCGAGCGGAUGAAGGGAGCUUGCUCCUGGAUUCAGCGGCGGACGGGUGAGUAAUGCCUAGGAAUCUGCCUGGUAGUGGGGGAUAACGUCCGGAAACGGGCGCUAAUACCGCAUACGUCCUGAGGGAGAAAGUGGGGGAUCUUCGGACCUCACGCUAUCAGAUGAGCCUAGGUCGGAUUAGAUAGUUGGUGGGGUAAAGGCCUACCAAGGCGACGAUCCGUAACUGGUCUGAGAGGAUGAUCAGUCACACUGGAACUGAGACACGGUCCUGACUCCUACGAGAGGCAGCAGUGGGGAAUAUUGGACAGUGGGCGAAAGCCUGAUCCAGCCAUGCCGCGUGUGUGAAGAAGGUCUUCGGAUUGUAAAGCACUUUAAGUUGGGAGGAAGGGCAGUAAGUUAAUACCUUGCUGUUUUGACGUUACCAACAGAAUAAGCACCGGCUAACUACGUG